rnacentral:rRNA from 1 species
UGGGGAAUAAUGCACAAUGGAGGGAACUCUGAUGCAGCGACGCCGCGUGAACGAAGAAGGCUUUCGAGUCGUAAAGUUCUUUUAUAUGGGAAGAUAAUGACGGUACCAUAAGAAAAAGCCCCGGCUAACUACGUGCCAGCAGCCGCGGUAAUACGUAGGGGGCUAGCGUUGUCCGGAAUCACUGGGCGUAAAGGGUUCGCAGGCGGAAAUGCAAGUCAGGUGUAAAAGGCAGUAGCUUAACUACUGUAAGCAUUUGAAACUGCAUAUCUUGAGAAGAGUAGAGGUAAGUGGAAUUUUUAGUGUAGCGGUGAAAUGCGUAGAUAUUAAAAAGAAUACCGGUGGCGAAGGCGACUUACUGGGCUCAUUCUGACGCUGAGGAACGAAAGCGUGGGUAGCAAACAGG